CUCCUGGUGUACCCGGUAUGCGCAGGUUCCUUCGGUUGUGUGUAUCCCUGGUGCCGGCGGUCCGGGUUGAGAGUGCGUCUGUCUCUCCGGCCCGCACUCAGUGUGGACCCCGGGUGCGCUGGCAUAUCUCACCCCCGCCGGCUUAAGGGAGUCCGGGAAGCCCCACCCAGGAUGAAGAGAAGUGCUCCCCGUGGGCAGCACAUCAAGUAACACAGCUGGUUAUCACGUGGUGUGAAAGGAGAGGAGCCCCAGGUAAGCACAGACGCAGACUGCUGGGCAAUGGUGCACAACUUGACUGAAGAAUCAGGGAAUGGGAUCAGAAGACUGAAAACAAAAGGAUGAUGGGCAACAAAAUGUGAAAUCUGUGUGUCUUAGACCAGCACCCACAAGAAACUACUCAUCAAAGGAGGUGCAGAGCAACCAGUGUGUCAGGUGCUGGGGACACAGCAAGAAAAACUGACGGAGAGGGACCUGCUGUCGUGAAGGUGACUGUCUAGGAGGGAAGCCAGACUUUAAGCAAUUAAUUUCAAGAGUGAAUC